CCUACGGGUGGCAGCAGUGAGGAAUAUUGGUCAAUGGCCGGAAGGCUGAACCAGCCAUGCCGCGUGAAGGUCAGUGCCCUAUGGGCGUUAAACUUCUUUUGUGCGGGAGCAAUAAUGGUCACGUGUGGCCAGACGAGAGUACCGUACGAAUAAGCAUCGGCUAACUCCGUGCCAGCAGCCGCGGUAAUACGGGGGAUGCAAGCGUUAUCCGGAUUUAUUGGGUUUAAAGGGUGCGUAGGCGGUUUUUUAAGUUAGUGGUUAAACGUCGGGGCUUCACCUUGAUUUGCCAUUAAUACUGUAAGACUCGAGUUCAGACGAGGUAGGCGGAAUAAGUUAAGUAGCGGUGAAAUGCUUAGAUAUAACUUAGAACUCCGAUAGCGAAGGCAGCUUACCAGACUGCGACUGACGCUGAAGCACGAGAGCGUGGGUAGCGAACAGGAUUAGAUACCCUAGUAGUC
rnacentral:rRNA from 1 species